rnacentral:rRNA from 1 species
GACGAACGCUGGCGGCACGCCUAACACAUGCAAGUCGAACGGACUUACAAGAGCUUGCUUUUUUAAGUUAGUGGCGGACGGGUGAGUAACACGUGAGCAACCUGCCUCUGAGAGGGGGAUAGCUUCUGGAAACGGAUGGUAAUACCCCAUAAAAUAUAAAUAUCGCAUGAUAGAUAUAUCAAAGAAAUUCGCUCAGAGAUGGGCUCGCGUCUGAUUAGAUAGUUGGUGAGGUAACGGCUCACCAAGUCGACGAUCAGUAGCCGGACUGAGAGGUUGUACGGCCACAUUGGGACUGAGACACGGCCCAGACUCCUACGGGAGGCAGCAGUGGGGAAUAUUGCACAAUGGAGGGAACUCUGAUGCAGCGAUGCCGCGUGGAGGAAGAAGGUUUUCGGAUUGUAAACUCCUUUUAUCAGGGACGAUAAUGACGGUACCUGAAGAAAAAGCUCCGGCUAACUACGUG